AUUGAACGCUGGCGGCAGGCCUAACACAUGCAAGUCGAGCGCGCGGCGCACGGGUGAGUAAUGUCUGUGAGACUGCCUGCUGUAGGGGGGUAUCUACUCGAAACGGUAGCUAAUACCGCGUACCCUCACAUGUGCACAUAUGGGAUUAGCUGGUAGGUGGGGUAACGGCUCACCUAGGCGACGAUCCCUAGCUGGUCUGAGAGGAUGACCAGCCACACUGGAACUGAGACACGGUCCAGACUCCUACGGGAGGCAGCAGUGGGGAAUAUUGCACAAUGGGCGCAAGCCUGAUGCAGCCAUGCCGCGUGUGUGAAGAAGGCCUUCGGGUUGUAAAGCACUUUCAGCGGGGAGGCGUUACCCGCAGAAGAAGCACCGGCUAACUCCGUGCCAGCAGCCGCGGUAAUUC
rnacentral:rRNA from 1 species